ACGGAAGGCAGCAGUGGGGAAUAUUGCACAAUGGAGGAAACUCUGAUGCAGCGACGCCGCGUGAGUGAAGAAGUAUUUCGGUAUGUAAAGCUCUAUCAGCAAGGAAGAAAAUGACGGUACUUGACUAAGAAGCUCCGGCUAAAUACGUGCCAGCAGCCGCGGUAAUACGUAUGGAGCAAGCGUUAUCCGGAUUUACUGGGUGUAAAGGGAGCGUAGACGGCAAAGCAAGUCUGAAGUGAAAUCCCGGGGCUCAACCCCGGAACUGCUUUGGAAACUGUUUAGCUAGAGUGCAGGAGAGGUAAGCGGAAUUCCUAGUGUAGCGGUGAAAUGCGUAGAUAUUAGGAGGAACACCAGUGGCGAAGGCGGCUUACUGGACUGUAACUGACGUUGAGGCUCGAAAGCGUGGGGAGCAAACAGGAUUAGAUACCCUGGUA
rnacentral:rRNA from 1 species